rnacentral:rRNA from 1 species
UACGGAGGGGGCUAGCGUUGUUCGGAAUUACUGGGCGUAAAGCGCACGUAGGCGGAUCAGUCAGUUAGGGGUGAAAUCCCAGGGCUCAACCCUGGAACUGCCUUUAAUACUGCUGGUCUGGAGUCCGAGAGAGGUGAGUGGAAUUCCGAGUGUAGAGGUGAAAUUCGUAGAUAUUCGGAGGAACACCAGUGGCGAAGGCGGCUCACUGGCUCGGUACUGACGCCGAGGUGCGAAAGCGUGGGGAGCAAACAGG